CUGUUUCUAGGUGUAAGAAAAUGAAUUACUUCAUGAAUUGUGUGUUAGUAGUCAAGAAAAACUGUAAGUAAUCAUGAAUGUUAAAAAGCUUUCUGUGUACCAGAUAAUUAAAAGUACAUUUUAUUUAUGAUUUUAAAUUUAUGAAACAAGUUAGACUUACCACAGUUACCACAUGGGAGGCCAAUGCAAUGAAUUCAAGGGAUGAGUGGUUGUUAUAACUUUCACUGAAAGUUUCAUUUAGACUGUAUCUUAAGUGUAUGCUUCCCUCGUCAAGGGUAGGAGGAUCAGUAUUUGUGCCCUCUGUUGUUGGUGCUACAGUGGUGAACACAUAUGAGGUAUGAGCCUCUGUUACUGGCUUUACUGACGUUAGUGUUGUUGUUGUUGUCGACAUUGUUGUAUAUACAGUUGUAGAAUUGAAUACAGUAGAUGAACCCUUAGCUAGAGUAGUUUUGGUUGAUUCUGGUUUAUUUCUAACAGUUGCUGCUGCUGUUGUCCUUGAUGCAAUUGCUGGCAAUGCUGAUGUCAAUGGAACAAAGGUUGAAGCUUUUGGUGCAGUAGCAGACUUUACUAAGCUUGUUGUUGAUGUUGUAAUUGUAUCUACUGCCACAGAAUGUAUCACAGUAGAUGAAACCUGAGCUAUUGUAGUCUUGGUUGAUUCUGGUUCAUUGCUAAUGGUUGCUGCUGUGGUCGUGCCCGAUGCAGUUGCUGGCAAUGCUGAUGUCACUGGUAAAAAUGUAGAAGCUUUGGGUGUAGUAGCCGACUCUACUAAGCCUGUUGUUGUUGUCACUGUAUUUUCUGUUGUAGUUAUCCUGAUUGUUUUCUGUUCAUUGCUAACAGUUGCUGAUGUGGUUUUGUCCAGUGCAGUUGCAUGCAAAGCUGAUGUUACUGGUGCAAAUGUAGAAGUUCUUGCUGUAGUAGCAGACACUAUUCGGCCUGUUGUUGUUGUCACUGUAUUUCCAGUUGUAGCUAUCCUGAUUGUUUCCGGUUCAUUGCUAACAGUUGCUGAUGUGGUUGUGCCCAAUGCAGUUGCUGGCAAUGCUGAUGUCACCGGUGCAAAUGUAGAAGCUUUGGGUGUAGAAGCAGACUCUACUAGGCCUGUUGUCAUUGUCACUGUAUCUUCUGUUGUAGUUAUCCUGAUUGUUUCUGGCUCAUUGCUAACAGUUGCUGAUGUGGUUAUGCCCAAUGCAGUUGCUGGCAAUGCUGAUGUCACCGGUACCAAGGUAGAAGCUUUGGGUGUAGUAGCAGACUCUACUAGGCCUGUUGUUGUUGACACUGUAUUUUCUGUUGCAGUUAUCCUGAUUGUUUCCGGUUCAUUGUUAACAAUUGCUGAUGUGGCUGUGCCCAAUGCAGUUGCUGGCAAGGCUGAUGUCACUUGUAGAAAUGUAGAAGCUUUGGGUGUAGUAGCCGAAUCUACUAGGCCUGUUGUUGUUGUCACUGUAUUUCCUGUUGUAGCUAUCCUGAUUGUUUCCGGUUCAUUGCUAACAGUUGCUGAUGUGGUUGUGCCCAAUGCAGUUGCUGGCAAAACUGAUGUUACCGGUGCAAAUGUAGAAGUUUUUGCUGUAGAAGCAGACACUAUUCGGCCUGUUGAUGUUGUCACUGUAUUUUCUGUUGUAGUUAUACUGAUUGUUUCCGGUACAUUGCUAACAGUUGCUGAUGUGGUUGUGCCCAAUGCAGUUGCUGGCAAAGCUGAUGUCACUGGUAAAAAUGUAGAAGCUUUGGGUCUAGUAGCAGACUCUACUAGACCUGUUGUUGUUGUCACUGUAUCUUCUGUUGUAGUUAUCCUGAUAGUUUCUGGCUCAUUGCUAACAGUUGCUGGUGUGGUUGUGCCCAAUGCAGUUGCUGGCAAUGCUGAUUUCACCGGUACCAAGGUAGAAGCUUUGGGUGUAGUAGCAGACUCUACUAGGCCUGUUGUUGUUGUCUCUGUAUUUUCUGUUGCAGUUAUCCUGAUUGUUUCCAGUCCAUUGCUAACAGUUGCUGAUGUGGUUGUGCCCAAUGCAGAUGCUGGCAAAGCUGAUGUUACUGGUGCAAAUGUAGAAGUUUUUGCUGUAGUAGCAGACACUA
ensembl:lncRNA